rnacentral:rRNA from 1 species
ACUCAAAUGAAUAGACGGGGGCUCACACAAGCGGUGGAGCAUGUGGUUCAAUUCGACGCAACGCGAAGAACCUUACCUGGGCUUGACAUGCACGGAUUAGGCGGCCGAAAGGUCGCUGAACGCCCGCAAGGGUGGAACGUGCACAGGUGCUGCAUGGCUGUCGUCAGCUCGUGUCGUGAGAUGUUGGGUUAAGUCCCGUAACGAGCGAAACCCUUGUCCUAAGUUGCGACCGGGUUAAGCCGAGCACUCUUAGGAGACUGCCGUUGUCAAGACGGAGGAAGGUGGGGAUGACGUCAAGUCAUCAUGGCCUUUAUGUCCAGGGCUACACACGUGCUACAAUGGUCGGUACAACGGGUUCCGAGACCGCAAGGUGGAGGCAAUCCCUGAAAGCCGAUCUCAGUUCGGAUUGGAGGCUGCAAUUCGCCUCCAUGAAGCCGGAAUCGCUAGUAAUCGCGGAUCAGCUACGCCGCGGUGAAUAUGUUCCUGAGCCUUGUACACACCGCCCGU